rnacentral:rRNA from 1 species
GACGAACGCUGGCGGCGUGCUUAACACAUGCAAGUCGAACGGAAAGGCCCUGCUUUUGUGGGGUGCUCGAGUGGCGGACGGGUGAGUAACACGUGAGUAACCUGCCCUUGACUUUGGGAUAACUUCAGGAAACUGGGGCUAAUACCGGAUAGGAGCUCCUGCUGCAUGGUGGGGGUUGGAAAGUUUCGGCGGUUGGGGAUGGACUCGCGGCUUAUCAGCUUGUUGGUGGGGUAGUGGCUUACCAAGGCUUUGACGGGUAGCCGGCCUGAGAGGGUGACCGGCCACAUUGGGACUGAGAUACGGCCCAGACUCCUACGGGAGGCAGCAGUGGGGAAUAUUGCACAAUAGGCGGAAGCCUGAUGCAGCAACGCCGCGUGCGGGAUGACGGCCUUCGGGUUGUAAACCGCUUUCGCCUGUGACGAAGCGUGAGUGACGGUAAUGGGUAAAGAAGCACCGGCUAACUACGUG